rnacentral:rRNA from 1 species
UACAGAGGUCUCAAGCGUUGUUCGGAUUCAUUGGGCGUAAAGGGUGCGUAGGCGGCGCGGUAAGUCACUUGUGAAAUCUCUGAGCUUAACUCAGAACGGCCAAGUGAUACUGCAGUGCUAGAGUGUGGAAGGGGCAAUCGGAAUUCUUGGUGUAGCGGUGAAAUGCGUAGAUAUCAAGAGGAACACCUGAGGUGAAGACGGGUUGCUGGGCCAACACUGACGCUGAGGCGCGAAAGCCAGGGGAGCAAACGGG